AUGAGGUAAAAAUGGGUUGCUGUCUGCUCAGACCCUUUGACCUUCUCUUUGUCCUCAUCGGUCCACACACAGCCUCUCUUCCCUCUUUCCCUCAGCCUCCCCCAGCCCCCCAUGCACCUGCCACACUAAGCAAGUUCAUUUUUGUGCUGUUCUGACUUCCUGUCCCAUCCCACGUUCUGCUUUCCAAUCUGCAGGCGCCAGUGAGAGGGGAAGAAGCCUGAGCAGAGGGUCUUGCUCACCCAGAAAGUUCCGCUCCACAUCCCAUCAGUCACCCUAAAGAGAAGCCAGGGGACCCGGGCCACUCGCCAAUGCGGGGUCUCCUGGGCUCAGGCAGAUACCCGAAACUUGCCACCUCAAGCACCCACUUGGAAUGCUUCUGUUGUCACAUCACUCUGCUCUAUCUGCCACCCACAACCCAAGUAAGUUAAACAGAGGAAGCGGCCCAGAACUGCCAAGUGUGCCCUCAGAAAAAUUUCCAAAGGCAGAGGUCAGGAGACUGUAAUCAUUUUGGGAUUAUCUUCUGGGCUUAAGUGGGGGCUUUAAGCUUCUCUGUGCUGCCUCUAGUGGUCACUGGAAGGAAUGCUCCUCUAAAGGACGCAAGGGCUGCUGGAGCAAGGGCAGUUGACUGUUUUGUUUGUUUUUGUUUUGGUUUUGGUUUGGUUUGGUUUUGCUGUGAACAACAUGUAUGGAACCUAAGUGCCAUCCUCUGCCCAUUGACCUCAUCAUUGUUCACAAAUUUCUCACCCACUUUUUGAAAAAUUCCCUGGGUUUUCAUCUAGGCAUUUUUGAUCAUUUUUUCAGAGAGGAUUUUUAAGCCUUUUUAAAGAAUCUCCCAUUUUGUGAUCUUCCAUUAUUUUUGUAAAUAUUUUAAAUUUUAAUAUGAUAAAAAUCCCUUGUAGUGUACAGUUUUAUGAGUUUGGACAAAUUCAUAGACUGGUAUAACAAUCACCCCAAUCAGGAGACCAGAUGAUCCCCUCUCUCCAAAAAUUUCUUCCAAGUGGUCCCUUUUAAUCAAAUCCUCCCCCACCUGUAAGUCUUAGUAACCACUGAUCCACUGAUAUUACUUUUAUCCCUACAGGGUUCUUUCCUGCAGAAUGCCAUAUAAAUGAAAUCCUACAGUCUGUAGCAUUUUGUCAAAGCCAUCAGCAGUUCCAGGACACUGAUUGCUCCCCACCCUCUGCAGAGCUCUGGUGUUCAAGGUCCACAUAAAUUGCUCUAUAGAAAAGCUGAUCUUAGCUUAAGGUCAAGGGAAGGAGGGCUCGGUGCUUGUCUAGGCCCCUUCUCUCUGUCUUCACUUUUUUUGCAUUCAUAUCACUGCCUCCCUGCUAUUGAUUCCUUAUCAGCCAUUGCUAAAGCACAAAGAAUAGAACAUUUUGAGGCUGAGAAGUUGUGAUAUGAAGAGGAGGUUGCCUGAAAAAAGGCAGAAAUCAGAACAAUAUAUAUAAUAGACAUAUGCUAGCAUAUAUUAAAUAUUCCAACAUGUGGAGAUACAUUGAGACAGAGAGCCAGUCAUUUGCUAUAAAUACUUAUCAGAAAAUAAAAGAAGAUUAAAAGUAUU
rnacentral:lncRNA from 1 species